AUUGAACGCUGGCGGCAUGCCUUACACAUGCAAGUCGAACGGUAACGCGGGGCAACCUGGCGACGAGUGGCGAACGGGUGAGUAAUGCAUCGGAACGUGCCCAGUAGUGGGGGAUAGCCCGGCGAAAGCCGGAUUAAUACCGCAUACGACCUACGGGUGAAAGCGGGGGAUCGCAAGACCUCGCGCUAUUGGAGCGGCCGAUGUCAGAUUAGGUAGUUGGUGGGGUAAAGGCCUACCAAGCCUGCGAUCUGUAGCUGGUCUGAGAGGACGACCAGCCACACUGGGACUGAGACACGGCCCAGACUCCUACGGGGGGUAGCAGUGGGGAAUUUUGGACAAUGGGCGCAAGCCUGAUCCAGCCAUGCCGCGUGCGGGAAGAAGGCCUUCGGGUUGUAAACCGCUUUUGUCAGGGAAGAAACGCUCUGGGCUAAUACCCCGGGGUAAUGACGGUACCUGAAGAAUAAGCACCGGCUAACUACGUGCCAGCCGCCGCGGUAACAC
rnacentral:rRNA from 1 species